GCGUAUAAUUACGCACACAACAUUAUUAAUUGCCUAAAUUAGAAGCACCGACUAUAGACUGCUGCUUAAAUCAAACGCAACAUUUAGCUCUGCCCAGGGCCUCUAUAAAAGCAAAGCCUUGUGUGAAUUAAAACGCGCGAAAUUGCUUUGCCUUACGUAUUCAGAGCUCUGUCUCCGAUUCUUCAUCGUUAUGAGUGGUGAAUUUAUAAUUCAUUGGUGAGAACCCUAACUCUAGACUUCUCAUUCUGAAUACACAGUAACGCUCUCUACACUUUUUAUUCUGAAUUUCAUUGUUGAUCUUGGAUCACAAGAAGUUGAAAAUCGACAGCAAGAAUUUUAAAGAAGGGAAAUAUCGAAAAGAAAAGAAGGGCACAUAAAGAUUUUAAAAUGUUAAUUUCAUGUGAAGCGUUGCUGCGAGUUGCAUGCAUUCUCCAAGGUUUUCAAAUAAUAGUGGAUGGCUUUGAUCGGAUUGGACGAUUGAAUUAUUGAAAAAAAAUUUCGGUAUUUUUCUAUGAAUGACCUGUUUUCAUUAUUUUAUAUCCCUAUGCACAAACCUUUGGUAUCUGCAUAGUGUCAUUUUGGCAUUUUUUUUUCUUUCUUCUUCUCAUUGUUUAUUUCUUUUUAUUGGCAUUUUUGCUGCAUGCAUCCAGGCACUCACUGAUGGGAAAUGGAAAUUUAGGUGUGAAUUAUCCUCCUAAUUUAUAAAAGAAAUGAUCUCGACCAAUAGUUGUAUAAGCAUUUUGUGGGUUAUCCUCCUCUUAUGCAUCGACACAACGUCAUGAUGCUUUAUAGUCUUAUUGGAAAACUGAAAGGAAUUGAUUAGUAUAUUAUGGAAUAACGUCCAAUAUCACUGUACCAGACACAUGUAUCCAUUUCAGUUCUUUAAAAAGGAAAAUAAUGUUGUCUUCUUGAAUGUCUCUUUGUUCUCCCUCUGGCCCUGUCAAAGUUGUCUUCUGGGGAAUGGUUGGUCAUUUUUUUCCUUUCUUAUCUUUAAUGAUCUCUGCUUAAACACUGAAUGACCUUGAUGUCAUAUUUGAUUUGGCCUUCUCCUCAUAGUCAAUUUUGCUUGCUGUUCAUAAGGUCCUCUGUGGACAUGAUGCGUGAAAGAUGAAAACUUCUUGCUGGUGCAUUUCGGACUUAUUUCAUGGAAAUAUAUGUAAAGGUUUCGAUAUAGAGUCAUUGGGUGUAUGUAAAUCUCAGUAAGUGGCAAUGCAUUUUCUGGCAGAUACUCUAAGCUUAUAACCAGGUUCUUGUCCAUUUUCAUAAGAUAUACAGUUGCAGCUUAGUCCAUUCAGCUGCUCUGUCGUUUGUCCCUCCAUUCUUUUAUCAGUUCUUUUUUUUUUUUCUUUUAGCUUCUGACUGAAUCUUGGGAUUACAAGUUCAAAGUAAAGUUUGCAUUGAGCUCAUUUCUUCACACUGUUUUGAAUCAUCAAAACUUUGAUCCGUUGGAAAUUUGAAAUCAUGAGAUUGAAACUAUGGCGGGGAAUAUAAGUCGAGAAAAUGUAAGGAAAUUGAAAUUGUGAGAAAUUCUGGUAUUAACUUUUGUCAAUGGUUUUGUUACUCACUGAUUUAGUUGGCUAGAAGUUAAAAUUCCCCAGCUAAUUAUGUCUCGCUUGGAUAUAAAUUCUCAACGGAUAUAUAUAUAUAUAUAUAUAUAUAUGAUCAGUUUGUGAUGCUGUUUCUAUUUUGGAAUUUUGGCCCCAAAUAAAAUAUGAAGUAAAAUUUAGACCUCAAGCACAACUCUGUAACAGAAAAAUGUGCCUUUUACGGUAUUUUAGUGACAGUGGGAACUGAGGCUUCUUUUUUACAAUUGUGACUUGUGAAAUCGUAUCUUCAGUGGAUCAGUUCACAAUAAUUUGUAGCAUGUUUAAGUGGCAGACUUUAUAACGUGCAGUGGCCGUAUUUCAUACAUAUGAUGCAUAGAUCAUAAAAGUUAUAAUUUUCUGAAGUUCUUUUAGCCGGGAAACUUUUGUUUAAGAAAUGUUUUUAAGCAUAUUUACUAAAAUUCUAUUUUGGAUGUACUUUGAUAAACCUUUGAAAGGACAGAAACAGAAACAUGUAUCCUUAAUUUUUAUUUUGGUGGAAAACGGCUGGGAUAAGCCCGAAACAUAGCAAAUCAAAGCCUAAUCAUGAAUGAAACUUGUAACCAUCCCCUCACAAGCAAGAGAUGUGAUGUACCAGCUGGAGGCUCAAACAAAAGCUUGAAGACCAAUCCGUAAAAAAGCCAGACCUGCCAACCAGUCAGCACAAGAGUUGGACUCUCUGAAUAUAUGCUUACUUUGAUGCACGAAUCCCUCUUGAGCAAGUUUUUAACUGCAGCAAGCAACACAAGAGAUGUCAUUACUGGUUGCACUAUUAACUGCUGAGAUGUUAGUUGCUGUUUGAUAAGUUGAAAUUUUGUGUUAGUUGCUGUUUAAAAAGAGAAGUAGAACAUGUUGCCGAUCGGCUGACCACCGCUCCACUUCUCCUUUCAAUUGUCCACUUCGACGAUUCGCUGCUAGUCCGAAAUUAAGUGUUGCUGCCAAUCUUUCCAAAGCAUCGACUAGCUUUACGACUGGAAGUUUUGAUUUUCUUCUUGCUAAUAAGUGUAGAAAACUGACUACUUUUCGGGUCGAGUCAAAAUGGGCAGAAAAAUUGCCGGGAGUUCGGGAAGAUCCUGAUGUCGGUAGUGGCAGUGAUUAUGAUAGAGGAGUUGAAGAACUGGAAGAAAUGACAUGGAUUAUGAGAGUGAUUGGGAGGAAGAAACAUAUGCUAAAUCUACUACUAGUUCCACAUCAGACAAUUAUGAGGAGGAGGAUACGGAGGAAGGCACAUAUGUUUCAUCUACUACUACUACUACGACAGUUCGUAGCUCCACAUCAAACAAUUAUGAGGAUCUAUCUAAAGGUGUCCCUUUUAUCCUUUCUUCCUUCUUCUCGUCUUUUCUUUUUUCUGCAUUUCUCUUGAAUUAAAUCGUCAUAAAAAGGAUGGGAAGAAAAAGAACCUGAAUUGGCGAUGAUAUUAUGAUAUUUAUGGUAAAUAUGCUGCGAAAUGAACUGGGUUCUUCUAACAUUUUAUUUCAUUAUAACAUGUAAGCAAUAUAGUUAAUCUUGAUAUGACAGGUAGUCUCUGAGGCUUAAGAUUAGUGGUAAGAACAUUUCAAUAUACAUGCUGAAGCAUUUCUAGCUCCAUCUCGCCUUCUAAAACAUUAAAAUAAGUACUCUGCUGCUUAAUUAGGUCUGCAUAAAUAAUAUCAUUCUUAUUAUAGAUCUGUAUGUAUUCCUGCAUCUUGGUCAUUGAUGCCUAAAAUAAGCACAAGCAAUCAAAAAUUUUUUUUUCAUGAAUGAUACAUUGAAGAAUCAUUACUUCAAAUUGAUGAAUGGAUCAGAGAAAAUUUUUUACUGAAAAAAGAUUAAUAGUGAUAGUAGAUCUAUUUCUGUUUGUUGAAUUAAAGUUAAAGGCAUGCUACAGAAGAUGUCAAUUUGUUUAAUGACCUUGGAUGAAUUACACUUCACCUGGUCUUUAUUCAUUUUAAAUUUGGAAGUUUGAUUAGACUCGGAAGUAAAUACAAUCAUGUCCUUUUGUUUAUAAGAUUACAAUUCUGUUUGUGAAGGCAUGAGUUGGGAAAGAACUGAAAGAACCACAGCUCUGUUUGAGAUUUCAGUAUCCAACGAAAGUAUUCAUAGAACUAGGCCAAAUUAAAUCAGAAAAUACAUCUGUUGCCUGGGGUUCUUUUGUCUUUUCUCUUUCUAAUUGUUUUUGUUCACAAUCACUUAUUUGAUACAAGUUUCUCAAGCAUCACGCGAUCAAUAACUUCAUGAAUCUGUAACUGUGGAUAAAAUUGUUGGGUGCUUGGCUGGUCACAUGGAAAAUGUGACGAGUAUGAAGUUUGGACGAAAGGGGAAAAAGGGGCGGGGUGUCUGGCUGCACAAUGUUCCUCAUAUACGUUGCAUAUCUUUUCAAUAGAAAGAUUUCCAGUGUAAAAUGCUCUUCUGCUGCGUAACGGUUAAUCUCCAUUUCUUCUUGUGGGAUAAAUCAAAUUGAGCUUGUCAUCGGGCCAUUCUAAUAUGGAAUUUAAUUAGGCUGAUUACAAAAGUGAACCAACUAAACGAAGGCAUGAUUGUUUAAUGAGACCCGGAAGUAAAAACAUUCAUGUCCCUUGUUUGUAAGGUUACAAACUUGUCUUGAAGGAAUGACUAGGGAAAGAAUUGAAACGGCCACAGCUCUGUUUGAGAACUCAGUAUCCAGACAAAGUUUCCACUGAACCAGGCCAAAAUAAAUCAGAAAAUAGAGUUAUUGAUCGUUUUUUUCUUUCUUUUACUGUUUGCUUUUUAAUUGUUUGUUGAUAAUCACUAGUUUGCUAUAAGUUUCUGAAGCAGCAUGCAAUCAGUGACUUCAUGAAUUUUUAACUGUGGAUAACAAUGUUGGGUGCUUGGCCGAUCACAUGGAAAAUGUUACGAGCAUGAAGACGAAAGGGAAGAAAGGGGAGGGGGUGGCUGGCUGCAUAAUGUUCCCCAAAUAUGGCACACAUCUGUUGAUCUGACUUGAUGGAUGCAUAGCCUUUCGAUGGGAAGAAGCUCUCAAAGUCUAAAAUGCCCUUCUUUUGCACAAUUGUUAAUCUCCACUUCUUAUAGGAUAAAUCAAAUUGACCUUAUAUCUGAGCCCUUCUAAUAUGGAAUUUAAUUAGGCUAAUUAGAAAAGAGAACCAACUAACCAAGUGGUCUACUGUUGGUUGGUUUUUUCCCAUUCUGAAAUUGAUUUAGGUUACAGUUGUUCUUGAAUUUCCACAUGCAACCCUUUCUACCGAUAUAAUUAUUUUGGGAAAAAAGGCUGACGAUAAAUUUUUUGUAGAAAUUAAACUUCUUGUGGGACCAGAAGAAAGAGCAAUUUUACAACAGAAUGUAACUUAUAACAUGAACAAACUAUCAAAAGUAAGUUAGGAGAACUUUGAAUAGCUUCUUCUUCUGUUAUAUGAAUUCCUACUUUUUCAUUCGCGGAUGGGUUCAAAAGUUGGCAUUCCAUUGUGAGGUAUUUAUUAAAGGAGCUUGAUUGUGGAAAUUUUAGUCAGUUAUUGUUUUUUAGAGCUUAUUAGUUGUGGAUGAGGCACUAUACCUCCAUUAUUCAGGCGAAAUGGAAGCCGCUCCGGACAUUCUUACAUGAAGGUUGGACUCCAUUGAUAUGUUGAGUCUCACAACAUGUUGGACUCCAUUGCACGUAGCAGUGCAAACUAGAAAAGGAGAUAUAUAAAGUUCUCUUAGUGAACAGUGCAGAUAAGAACAGAAGAAAUAAGGAUGGAAUGACACCCGUGGAUCUUUGCUUAUUUAUGGCAAAGACUUCAAGUCAUAUGACCUUGCCAGGUUAGUGAAUUACCUGCUAACAGAGAAUUUUAACAGGAAUGAGCAUUGUGCAAAUUCGAGAUCAAAUAUAAAACAGAAAAGCAAUGCCUUGUGUUUCUAACAAUCUUUUGAUCAUGUAUUUUCUGAGUGGCGUGUUGCAAAUGAGCACUCCUGGUCUAUAGCUUUUUGUGGGUCAUCAGAACUUCUUGUGCUCUUGGAAGCCUAACUUUAGGCAGGAGUUUGGGAAAUAAGUAGUUUUGCAUAUCAGAAACUCAGCGGCAUGAUCAUUUAGGCAUGUUAUAUUUGAUCAGUGCAGCUGCUGCCACCACAAAUCAUGAUGAUUUAUAUUAGAGUGAAUGACAGACAGAAUGCACACAAUGUGGUGGUGUUGUAGGCAUGCUUGAAGAAAACGGAGGAAAGCUAGGGAUUUAUGAUGUCAGAUUAAGCACUUGCCUACACAUUUUGGUUUUCCUUUUUUCUUUUUCUUUGCACUUUUCACUGAUGCUGCUUCAUGUUCUAUCUGGAUUUUAACAGUGCUUUUUUUCUUUCUCCUGUUGCUCAACUAGAAGAGCAGACAAGAAAUAUUUCACUGGUGCUGUGAAAUCGAAAAUGAUGAAACGAUUAGGAGCUCUAUUUAUUUACAAGUCCUCAACAGUAUUCUUUCUGAUCAACA